GACGAACGCUGGCGGCGUGCUUAACACAUGCAAGUCGAACGGAAAGGCCCUGCUUUUGUGGGGUGCUCGAGUGGCGAACGGGUGAGUAACACGUGAGUAACCUGCCCUUGACUUUGGGAUAACUUCAGGAAACUGAGGCUAAUACCGGAUAGGAGCUCCUGCUGCAUGGUGGGGGUUGGAAAGUUUCGGCGGUUGGGGAUGGACUCGCGGCUUAUCAGCUUGUUGGUGGGGUAGUGGCUUACCAAGGCUUUGACGGGUAGCCGGCCUGAGAGGGUGACCGGCCACAUUGGGACUGAGAUACGGCCCAGACUCCUACGGGAGGCAGCAGUGGGGAAUAUUGCACAAUGGGCGGAAGCCUGAUGCAGCAACGCCGCGUGCGGGAUGACGGCCUUCGGGUGGUAAACCGCUUUCGCCUGUGACGAAGCGUGAGUGACGGUAAUGGGUAAAGAAGCACCGGCUAACUACGU
rnacentral:rRNA from 1 species